rnacentral:rRNA from 1 species
UACGUAGGGCGCAAGCGUUAUCCGGAAUUAUUGGGCGUAAAGAGCUCGUAGGCGGUUUGUCGCGUCUGCCGUGAAAGUCCGGGGCUCAACUCCGGAUCUGCGGUGGGUACGGGCAGACUAGAGUGCAGUAGGGGAGACUGGAAUUCCUGGUGUAGCGGUGAAAUGCGCAGAUAUCAGGAGGAACACCGAUGGCGAAGGCAGGUCUCUGGGCUGUAACUGACGCUGAGGAGCGAAAGCAUGGGGAGCGAACAGG